AGUACUACCCGUACGCUGCGGUUCUGAGCGCGCUGUCCACGCCCACCUGACGACUGCUCGCGACUUUCUUAGCU
rnacentral:sRNA from 1 species